rnacentral:rRNA from 1 species
UACGUAGGGUGCAAGCGUUGUCCGGAAUUAUUGGGCGUAAAGAGCUCGUAGGCGGUUUGUUGCGUCGGCUGUGAAAACCUGAGGCUCAACCUCAGGCCUGCAGUCGAUACGAGCAGACUAGAGUGUUGCAGGGGAGACUGGAAUUCCUGGUGUAGCGGUGAAAUGCGCAGAUAUCAGGAGGAACACCGGUGGCGAAGGCGGAUCUCUGGGCCGAUACUGACGCUGAGGAGCGAAAGCGUGGGGAGCGAACAGG